CAGACCCUUCUUGGCCUUGGAAUUUGGUGGUGGAUUAGCGCAGCUGGGAGGGCAAGGCACGCAAUUGGUGCAACCAUCAAUGGCAUCAUUGCCUCCAACAAUACAUUGACCAGAGAGAGAGAGAUGGUGGGCACCAUCCAAUGGGUCUUGGUUCGGUUGUUGGAUCGAGGAAGCUACCAGAACUCAACCAUGAUUGGUGUUAGGGGAG
rnacentral:lncRNA from 1 species